GGGUGCGCAUGCUACCGUGCGCGUCGAGCGGAACGAGUUAUCUGAACCUUCGGGGAACGAUAACGGCGUCGAGCGGCGGACGGGUGAGUAAUGCCUAGGAAAUUGCCCUGAUGUGGGGGAUAACCAUUGGAAACGAUGGCUAAUACCGCAUAAUACCUACGGGUCAAAGAGGGGGACCUUCGGGCCUCUCGCGUCAGGAUAUGCCUAGGUGGGAUUAGCUAGUUGGUGAGGUAAUGGCUCACCAAGGCGACGAUCCCUAGCUGGUCUGAGAGGAUGAUCAGCCACACUGGAACUGAGACACGGUCCAGACUCCUACGGGAGGCAGCAGUGGGGAAUAUUGCACAAUGGGCGCAAGCCUGAUGCAGCCAUGCCGCGUGUGUGAAGAAGGCCUUCGGGUUGUAAAGCACUUUCAGUCGUGAGGAAGGUAGUGUAGUUAAUAGCUGCAUUAUUUGACGUUAGCGACAGAAGAAGCACCGGCUAACUCCGUGCCAGCAGCCGCGGUAAUACGGAGGGUGCGAGCGUUAAUCGGAAUUACUGGGCGUAAAGCGCAUGCAGGUGGUUUGUUAAGUCAGAUGUGAAAGCCCGGGGCUCAACCUCGGAAUAGCAUUUGAAACUGGCAGACUAGAGUACUGUAGAGGGGGGUAGAAUUUCAGGUGUAGCGGUGAAAUGCGUAGAGAUCUGAAGGAAUACCGGUGGCGAAGGCGGCCCCCUGGACAGAUACUGACACUCAGAUGCGAAAGCGUGGGGAGCAAACAGGAUUAGAUACCCUGGUAGUCCACGCCGUAAACGAUGUCUACUUGGAGGUUGUGGCCUUGAGCCGUGGCUUUCGGAGCUAACGCGUUAAGUAGACCGCCUGGGGAGUACGGUCGCAAGAUUAAAACUCAAAUGAAUUGACGGGGCCCGCACAAGCGGUGGAGCAUGGUGGUUUAAUUCGAUGCACGCGAAGAACCUUACCUACUCCUUGGACAUCCAGAGGAACUUUCCCAGAG
rnacentral:rRNA from 1 species